rnacentral:rRNA from 1 species
UACGUAGGGUGCAAGCGUUGUCCGGAAUUAUUGGGCGUAAAGAGCUCGUAGGCGGUUCGUCGCGUCGGCUGUGAAAUCCCGAGGCUCAACCUCGGGUCUGCAGUCGAUACGGGCGGACUGGAGUUCGGCAGGGGAGACUGGAAUUCCUGGUGUAGCGGUGAAAUGCGCAGAUAUCAGGAGGAACACCGGUGGCGAAGGCGGGUCUCUGGGCCGAUACUGACGCUGAGGAGCGAAAGCGUGGGGAGCAACAGG